rnacentral:rRNA from 1 species
AGAGUUUGAUCCUGGCUCAGAUUGAACGCUGGCGGCAGGCCUAACACAUGCAAGUCGAGCGGUAGCACAGGAGAGCUUGCUCUCUGGGUGACGAGCGGCGGACGGGUGAGUAAUGUCUGGGAAACUGCCUGAUGGAGGGGGAUAACUACUGGAAACGGUAGCUAAUACCGCAUAACGUCUACGGACCAAAGUGGGGGACCUUCGGGCCUCACGCCAUCAGAUGUGCCCAGAUGGGAUUAGCUAGUAGGUGGGGUAAUGGCUCACCUAGGCGACGAUCCCUAGCUGGUCUGAGAGGAUGACCAGCCACACUGGAACUGAGACACGGUCCAGACUCCUACGGGAGGCAGCAGUGGGGAAUAUUGCACAAUGGGCGCAAGCCUGAUGCAGCCAUGCCGCGUGUGUGAAGAAGGCCUUAGGGUUGUAAAGCACUUUCAGCGAGGAGGAAGGGUAGUGUGUUAAUAGCACAUUGCAUUGACGUUACUCGCAGAAGAAGCACCGGCUAACUCCGUGCCAGCAGCCGCGGUAAUACGGAGGGUGCAAGCGUUAAUCGGAAUUACUGGGCGUAAAGCGCACGCAGGCGGUUUGUUAAGUCAGAUGUGAAAUCCCCGCGCUUAACGUGGGAACUGCAUUUGAAACUGGCAAGCUAGAGUCUUGUAGAGGGGGGUAGAAUUCCAGGUGUAGCGGUGAAAUGCGUAGAGAUCUGGAGGAAUACCGGUGGCGAAGGCGGCCCCCUGGACAAAGACUGACGCUCAGGUGCGAAAGCGUGGGGAGCAAACAGGAUUAGAUACCCUGGUAGUCCACGCUGUAAACGAUGUCGAUUUGGAGGUUGUGCCCUUGAGGCGUGGCUUCCGGAGCUAACGCGUUAAAUCGACCGCCUGGGGAGUACGGCCGCAAGGUUAAAACUCAAAUGAAUUGACGGGGGCCCGCACAAGCGGUGGAGCAUGUGGUUUAAUUCGAUGCAACGCGAAGAACCUUACCUACUCUUGACAUCCAGAGAAUUCGCUAGAGAUAGCUUAGUGCCUUCGGGAACUCUGAGACAGGUGCUGCAUGGCUGUCGUCAGCUCGUGUUGUGAAAUGUUGGGUUAAGUCCCGCAACGAGCGCAACCCUUAUCCUUUGUUGCCAGCGAUUCGGUCGGGAACUCAAAGGAGACUGCCGGUGAUAAACCGGAGGAAGGUGGGGAUGACGUCAAGUCAUCAUGGCCCUUACGAGUAGGGCUACACACGUGCUACAAUGGCGUAUACAAAGAGAAGCGAACUCGCGAGAGCAAGCGGACCUCAUAAAGUACGUCGUAGUCCGGAUUGGAGUCUGCAACUCGACUCCAUGAAGUCGGAAUCGCUAGUAAUCGUAGAUCAGAAUGCUACGGUGAAUACGUUCCCGGGCCUUGUACACACCGCCCGUCACACCAUGGGAGUGGGUUGCAAAAGAAGUAGGUAGCUUAACCUUCGGGAGGGCGCUUACCACUUUGUGAUUCAUGACUGGGGUGAAGUCGUAACAAGGUAACCGUAGGGGAACCUGCGGUUGGAUCACCUCCUU